GGGAGAAGAGAAGAAGAGAAGAGAAGAAGAGAAAAAUGCACCUGAGUAAUCACUGUAUAACGAAUACAGAUCAAGGUUCGCAGUGGUUGCCAGCACGUUGUGUCAGACCAUUCCUGAAGAAGCUCAAGCCAACAGUUGAAGAAGCAGAAGCGGCACCUGGUGGUGAAACUGAUUUGUUAUCUGACCUUCAGCUAGACGACAACAACGAGGGGUGAUCCAAAAUUGACUAAUCCCAACCCUUUGGGACAAUGUAACGUAGCCUCUCUGAUUAUCUAUACAGCAUGCCAAUGAUGUUGUGGGUAUUACAGUGUGUAGUAAGGAUUGUCUUAGUAUUGUUGGACUUAAGCAAUGCUUUUUGGCUUCCCUCUCAACCAAAGACUAAUAUUUGGAUAACUUUAGCCAACAUCACAGGUCAAGACCCUGUUUAGCUACUGCAUCUCCAGGCAAUCCUUUUUCAACAUGUUUGGUUGGUGUUCCACUAGACACCUGGCCUAUCCCCGAAAACAAGAGGCAGCUGGCUGGUGGUCAAAAUGUGACAAAUAAUUGGGAUGGCUGGGUCGUAGACCUACCACAGGGUAGUUUGGAACCCCAAGAAAUUGAGUUACUAGGAUCAUUAAAAAUGGAUUUUUGUCUAUAUUUCUAUUCUUCAGGAAAAAAUACCUCUCUUGUGCAAGUGAUAAACGCCUGAUCAGCUGUAUAUCACAAUCAGAGUUUUUGGUGUAAUUAUACCAGUCCCAAUGUAUCUAAGGCCACCAACACCCCUUUGAAAUUACCCCCAGGAAUUUUUAAUUUGUGGCAAUAGAGCCUGGCAAGGGAUUCCUUUCCACAUAAAAGAAGGGCCAUGUUCUUUAGGGAGGUUAACCUUAUUAUCUCCAAACACAUCAACCAUUUUAAUGCCUAAAAGAGGAAAAAGAAGUAUUCACGCCUUUGAUAAAGAUUGUAAGGAUAAUAUAGAAUUUUGGGGAACGAGUGAAACUGUAUUGGCCUCCAUUUUUGCACCCGGAGUCACAGUAGCAAAUGCUUUGAAUAUGGUUAACAAAUUAGGAUGUUGGUUAGCAAAACAGACUAACACCACCUCCUCAGCAUUGUCUGGGCUUUUAGCAGACGUUGAUUCAGUUAGACAUGCUACGCUUCAAAAUUGUGCUGCCAUAGAUUUUUUGUUGUUAGCGGAAAGACACGGUUGUGAAGAUUUUAAUGGGAUGUGUUGCAUGAACUUGUCUGAUCAUUCUGAAUCAAUUCACAAAGCGUUUAGAAGGUUAGAUGAUAUGACCAAGAAAUUAACCUGUGAAGACUGGGGUUUAGACGAAUGGUUGCAUGGUUGGGGUAUUACAGGAUGGAUUAAGGAUCUAAUAAAAAAUGGUCUAGUUCUAUUGAUGGUUGUAUUAGUAAUAUUAAUGCUUGUCCCUUGUAUCUUACAAUGUGUACAACAUACAGUAGAAAAAGCUAUGAAAGGUCUAUGCCUAGUUGAAAAACAAAAAGGGGAAAUUGUGGAAUAUCUUACAGACAGUCAUCUUGAGUUACUGGAAUGACCUUGACCAAAAUAGAAUGAGAAAUCAGACCGUUUUUGUACAAGAAAAUAUAUUUAUAAUGUGUUAGCCAAACUGCUAGAGCACGUGAAAGAUUAAGUAGACCAAUCGCAAGAAAGCUUUGAGUCCGUGAACAGCUGGCAUAAGCCAAUUAAAACACGUGUACAACAGCUACUGACUAUAAAUGUAAGUGCCUUGUUGAAAUAAAAUGUCUCUUGGUUCACCCGCA